rnacentral:lncRNA from 1 species
AUGGCCAGCAGGCGGGCCACCUCCUCCCCGGAGCUGGCGGCCGGAGCCCCUGGGUCGAGGCCCGGCGCCGCGUCCCCCGGCCCGCAGCCUGUCCGUAACUCCCCGGGGGGAGCCCGCCACCUCCGCAGCCAGUCCCGGAGGCGCUGGCAAGUCCCGGCCGCCCCGAGCAGCCCCCACGUCCUGCGGAGGCCGGUGGCGUCGAGGAACGCCGCGAGCCGGGUCCGGCCCAGCCUGGCCACGCCGGCGGCCACGGCGCGCCAGCAGAGCCGCAGGCAGCCCAGCAGCAGCACGAGGAGCAGCAGCAGCAGCGCGCAGAGCAUCCACAGCAGGCGCCGCGCCACCUCCGCCCCGGCCCGCAGCCCCCGGGCCGCCCGCAGCCACCCGCUGCGUGCCCGCUGCCCCACGCGCCGGCCCCAGCUGCGCACGGUGCCCGGUGCUGGAGCCGUCUCCGUCCCCGUCAUCGUUGCCGUCGUCUUCCGUGGUGGCGGCCGCCGGUCGCAGGCCGCAGCUCCCGUUCCAGGCGGCGCUGCCCGGGGGGGCCCGGCCGCCCCCCCCCCCCCCCUCCUCCUCCUCCUCCUCCUCCUCCUCCUCCUGCCCCGGCCCCGGGCGGUUCCCGGUUCCCGCCGCCGCCCCCCUCGGCCUCGGCCGCUGCCCCGCGGCCCGGCGGGGGCUGAGCCAUGGCGGCGGCCCCGGGAGUUAGGUCACCGCCAUCGCCCCUGCAGCCGGGAGCGGAGUCAGCGGGGCCCGGGGGUAACGGAGGGAACCGGGGGGGAACCGGGAGGGUGGGGGCCGCUACCGGGGGGACCGGCGGGGGAACCGGGGGCUGGGAGCGGCCGCGGGAGGCAGGCCCGGGGCGGCCCCCGGGGCCCCGCCGCGCUCCCCGAGCGGUGCCGGUGCCGGUGCCGGUGCCGGCGGGGGGGGCCCCGCCCCCUCAGCGAAGCCCCGCCCCCUUUAACCCCUUCGGUGCCGGGCGCGGAGUCGCCGUCCCGCGCUGCCCCCGGGCGGGGCUGGGACCGGGGCUGGGGCUGGGCCCGGGCUGCCCCACGCGUGUCCGUGCCCCCGACGUGCCCGCGCCCCCCUGUGUGCCCCGGUCCCAUGGCAGGUCCCAGCCCCACGACGGGCACCGGCCCCCCACGCGUGUUCGUGUCCCCACGCGUGUCCCCAAAACCCCGCGUGUCCCCUCCCCACGCGUGUCCCCUCCCCCACGCGUGUCCGUGUCCCUCGUGAGCUUCUGCCCCC